ensembl:snoRNA
CAGCAGACAGUUAUCCCUUUCUAGUCUGGCUCAUGGGAGUCCGUCUGCAACAGUAAGUGGUGAGUUCUUCCAUCUGUCGUCAGUAUUUUGAUGGUGGCUUCAGACUUGCCGGAUAUCA